rnacentral:rRNA from 1 species
GACUGGAGAACUUGCAGAGGAUACUGCAUGUCUUGGGACCGGGAGGGGCCGAGGGUACUCACGGGGUAGGGGUGAAAUCCUGUAAUCCCGUGGGGACCACCUGUGGCGAAGGCGCUCGGCUGGAACGGUUCCGACGGUGAGGGACGAAAGCCAGGGGAGCAAACCGGAUUAGAUACCCGGGUAGUCCUGGCUGUAAACGAUGCUCGUUAGGUAUUGGCCUCUCUUCGGGAGGGGUCAGUGCCAUAGCGUAGGCGUUAAACGAGCCGCCUGGGGAGUACGGUCGCAAGGCUGAAACUUAAAGGAAUUGGCGGGGGAGUACACAAGGGGUGGAGUCUGCGGUUCAAUUGGACUCAACGCCGGAAACCUUACCAGGGGCGACGGCAGGAUGAAGGUCAGUCUGAAGGGCUUACCAGACACGCCGAGAGGUAUUGCAUGGCCGACGUCAGCUCGUGCCGUGAGGUGUGCCGCUAAGCCGGUUAACGAGCGAGACCCGUGCCCUCUGUUGCUACCUCUAUCUUCGGGUAGAGGGGCACUCAGGGGGGACUGCCUGCGUUAAGCAGGAGGGAAGGUGCGGGCGACGUUAGGUCAGUAUGGUCCGAAUCUCCUGGGCUACACGCGGGCAACAAUGGCCGGGACAAUGGGAUGCGACCCCGAAAGGGAAAGCCAAUCCUCGAAACCCGGUCUCAGUUCAGAUCGAGGGCUGCAACUCGCCCUCGUGACGCCGGAAUCCCUAGUAGUCGAACGUU